GCUAUGAUGUCAUGGCACUCUACCAAGGAUGAUAGAGUGAGACUCUCUCUAAAAAGAAAGAAAAGGGCGUAGGACGCAGGAGUCGAGGCGCUGGGAGCCAUCGUGGUGAGGACCAUGUUGCUUCCGAACAUCCUGCUCACAGGUACACCUGGGGUUGGAAAAACCACACUAGGCAAAGAACUUGCAUCAAGAUCAGGACUGAAAUACAUUAAUGUGGGUGAUUUAGCUAAAGAAGGGCAGUUGUAUGAUGGCUAUGAUGAAGAAUAUGAAUGUCCCAUGUUAAGAUGAAGAUAGAGUGGUUGAUGAGUUAGAUAACCAAAUGACAGAAGGUGGAGUUAUUGUUGAUUACCAUGGUUGUGAUUUCUUCCCUGAACGCUGGUUUCAUGUAGUUUUUGUCCUGCGAACAAAUACCAGUGAAUUGUACAAAGGCUUAAAACAAGGGGUUAUAAUGAGAAGAAAUUAAAAGACAAUAUUGAGUGUGAGAUUUUUCAAAUUCUUUAUGAAGAAGCCACAGCAUCCUACAAGGAAGAAAUCGUGCAUCAGCUGCCCAGCAACAACCCAGCAGAGCUAGAAAGUAAUAUAGAUUACAUCUUAAAAUGGAUUGAGCAGUGGGUCAAAGUUCGUAAUUCUUGACUUAUAAGAGUAGCCACUUUAGAAUCACUCUGAGUAUUGAUAUCUUUUGCCAACAUCAUAGAAAUUGUCCAAUGUCAGUAUGGCUAUUAAAAUUGUGUUGCAGGACUAGCAGGUGGAUAG